UUUUGAAAGAAACAAACAUGACCUCUUAAUUUCUGCAAUGAAUUUAAUGAAUAAGAUUUUCUAAUACAAAUACGAGUAUUCAAUCCAAAGUACAAAUUCCCUUCUCUCCAAAGAAUCAGAAUAUGUAAUCAUCCUCAUUCAAAUGGCAGAAUGAGUCAGCUUCAAUCCUUGUUUUUCCUUUUUGUUUAAAAAUAAGUAAGUUUUGAUCUCAUAACCCGGCUAGACCACUAGAGACAAAUAAAUUUUUCAUAACAUGGCACAUUUAAUAUCUUGGUUCCUAUAAACACCAGUACCUCAUUGCCAAUCAGGUCUCCAUAGAACGAAAGUAUCAUAAUUCAUAUAUGCUGGUUACAAAAAUGCCUAAUCAAGUAACCAUAAUGCAUGUAGUCCGAACUUUAUGGUGAAUUAGAACUUAUUUUGCCUAUGUUUCUCCGCUCAACAGUAGAAUAAAAUCAUUCAAAUCUUGAACAAACUUGACAAAACCUUCACAUGGUGUGGCAUGAUUUUUAUAUCAUAAGGUACAUGAAGCCAUGCUCCUGGUGGAUAGAACAAGUUCUCUGGCUUGUUGGUAUAAACAUCGGCAAAUUGAUGGAUGUGGUAACUAAAUGCAGAUUCUUGACCAGUGUCGGUAAGAAAUGUAGCUCCAAAUGACCCAUUAAACAUGGUUUUCAUAGCACAAUGUGUCUUCUGCCUCUCUUCGUUGAUCUCCCCAAGAAGAGACUUGUAUACUUCACUCUUAAAAUUAGGAACAUUGGAAUGCAGUUUGCCAAGAAGUUCUUAUACUAUAUGAAACUUCGCUUGCUCAAAAUGAUAACUAUCCUCGUUCUGUAUUCGCAUAUCAUUUUCCAAUUCAUGGAUAAUGGCAGCAGUACGCCACCAUGCUUUCGAAGGCCCUCUCAAGUCACUAAAUAGGUGAUCCUUAAAGUAUAUCACCUUUGGACCAUUCCACUUAGUUAUUUGCAAAAAAGAAUUCAAGCAUCCAUGGUAGUAAGUUUUGUUUGGAAGAAAAGCAUCCACCUUCGAAAAAGCCAAUUUGUCUUUCUCCUCAUCAUGACAACGAAAUGAAUGCUCAGAUGUGUAAAACUCUGGUUUGUUGGCUUUAGCAAUACAAUAUCAAAACGUUCCCUCCAAAAGUCUAGGUGUCCCAAAGAAUCCUCCAACAAAAAGCACAUCCCUCCAUCCACAAAAUAAUAGGGAGAGUUGGUCAACAAGAAAAGUUUCUUCCCUUUCUCUCUUAGCAUCCUUAAAAAGCGUAAUAGCUGACCAUUCUUUACAAGGUACUUAUGCGGAUUAGUAAGAAUUCCUCUAUGAGCUAAGCCACUUCAAUGAACGUGUUGAAUUGCUCGAUUCACAUCUUGGUAGACAUAAAUGGCGACAAAUUCCAGCUCAGCCUCAACAAAAUGUCGAAAAAUAUGAGUAAUAAGGCAUGCCUCACUGAAGCAAAAGAAGUCCAUCAUACCGAUGGACUUUUAUUCAAACUCACCAAAUGUCUUAGAAUAUCAUUGGAUUCAUAGUACAUUCUUGAACAGAACACAAUAUGAGCCAGAUUCAUAGUACAUUCUUGAACAGAACAAAAUAUGAGCCAUGACACAAUAACUUUGACCACAGAACCUCAAGAAAAUUGGAAGUCAAAAUGCCUCAAAAAUCAGUGAUUUCAACCAAUGGCGGCAUCACAAACCUACAAAGUUAUAUCGACCGAUCGGUUACUUAACAAAGAUUCAAUGGUCUUCGAGCUCGACGAGUCCGAUAUCUGGGACAUGACUGCCCGAUUGGUUUCGCCCGAGUUCCGAAAAGCCAAUUCGAGAAUCUCUCGAAAGAAUUCUUCGACAGCGAAAGGAGUCCCCGUCAAUGGACUGGCAUCUCUGCCGAUGAAUAUACCGAACUGGUCGAACCGUCAAAGAUACUGAAAAAAGAGUAUAGGGUAAAUCACCGGAGGGACUUCGAUGAGGAUGAUUUCGAGGACGACGACGAGGAUUCGGAGCAUUGGGUUCCGUCUCAUGAGUUUUUAGCUAGGCAAAUAGCGAGGAUGAGGACCGUUCAUUCUCAUUGCACGAAGGGAUUGGUCGUUCAAAGAGAGUUCUGAGAAAGCAACUUUGGAGGGUUUCUGAGAGAGAGGGAGGAACCCCUUUUUUUGUGGGCUGGUGGAUGAGAGAGAAGGAACGUGAAUGGGUAGAAGAGAG
rnacentral:lncRNA from 1 species